CUACGGACUUAAUUGGAUUGAGCCUUGGUAUGGAAACUUACUAAGUGAUCACUUUAAAAUUCAGAGAAACCCUGGAAUGAACAAAAAUGGGCAAUCCUGAGCCAAAUCCUAUAUUCUGAAAACAAAUAAAGGUUCAGAAAAAAAGGAUAGGUGUAGAGACUCAAUGGAAGCUAUUCUAAUAAAUGGAGUUAAAUGUGUUGGUAGAGGAAUCUUUACAUCGAAACUUCAAAAAGAAAAAGAAUGAAGUGAAGGAUAAACGUAUAUACAUAUGUAUUGAAUACUAUAUCAAAUGAUUAAUGACGACCCGAAUCCCUGAUCAAAUCAUUCACUCCAUAGUCUGAUAGAUCUUUUGAAGAACUGAUUAAUCGGACGAGAAUAAAGAUAGAGUCCCAUUCUACAUGUCAAUAUCGG
rnacentral:ncRNA from 1 species